rnacentral:rRNA from 1 species
UACAGAGGGGGCAAGCGUUGUUCGGAUUUACUGGGCGUAAAGGGCGCGUAGGCGGUCAGCACAAGUCAGUUGUGAAAUCUCCGGGCUUAACUCGGAAAGGUCAACUGAUACUGUGCGACUAGAGUGCGGAAGGGGCAACUGGAAUUCUCGGUGUAGCGGUGAAAUGCGUAGAUAUCGAGAGGAACACCUGCGGCGAAGGCGGGUUGUGGCCGUAGGC